CUGGGCGGAAUGGACCAUGGUCCGGCAGCCUCUGGAGAAGGAUAGGAAAUCGGGUGUGAAUCCCGAGCGGAACCGCCGCUGUAUGCGCCGAGGCCGCGCUCGUCGACGAAAGUCGGUCACUGGGAAACCGGGAAGGCAGAGCGUGGGCCGCAGGAGUAACUCUCCGUAAGCGUGAGCCAGAAGACCUGCUUUGAAAUUGCUCUGUCG
rnacentral:ncRNA from 2 species